rnacentral:rRNA from 1 species
AGUAACGCGUGAGGAACCUGCCUCAAAGAGGGGGACAACAGUUGGAAACGACUGCUAAUACCGCAUAAGCCCACAGCUCGGCAUCGAGCAGAGGGAAAAGGAGUGAUCCGCUUUGAGAUGGCCUCGCGUCCGAUUAGCUAGUUGGUGAGGUAACGGCCCACCAAGGCGACGAUCAGUAGCCGACCUGAGAGGGUGACCGGCCACAUUGGGACUGAGACACGGCCCAG